AAAAUUAGAGUGUUCAAAGCAGGCAGAUCCAAUUUUCUGCCACCGAAUACAUUAGCAUGGGAUAAUGGAAUAGGACCCUGUCCUCCUAUUUUCAGUUGGUUUUGGCAGCGCGAGGACUAGGGUAAUGAUUAAUAGGGAUAGUUGGGGGCAUUAAUAUUUAAUUGUCAGAGGUGAAAUUCUUGGAUUUAUGAAAGAUUAACUUCUGCGAAAGCAUCUGCCAAGGAUGUUUUCAUUAAUCAAGAACGAAAGUUAGGGGAUCGAAGACGAUCAGAUACCGUCGUAGUCUUAACCAUAAACGAUGCCGACCAGCGAUUAGGAGACGUUGAAUACAAAACACCACCAUCGGUGCGGUCGUCCUUGGCGGUUGGUCUUCAAAAGCCAGCGGCGGGGGUGCUAGCCC
rnacentral:rRNA from 1 species